UAAUUAUUUUUUUUCUGUUUAUUUCAGGGCCCUCCUGGUCCAAAGGGCGAGAAGGGAGAUCAAGGUGAUCAGGGCCCUCGGGGUCUGCCAGGCUUCCCCACAGUUGCUGCUCUGCACAGUAAUCAGAUCCUCACCGUCAAGGGGGACCAAGGACAAGCUGGACCCCCUGGGCCUCCAGGGCCUCCAGGACCCAGAGGUCCCCCAGGAGAUACUG
rnacentral:lncRNA from 1 species